GAUGAACGCUGGCGGCGUGCCUAAUACGUGCAAGUCGAGCGAACGGACGAGAAGCUUGCUUCUCUGAUGUUAGCGGCGGACGGGUGAGUAACACGUGGAUAACCUACCUAUAAGACUGGGAUAACUUCGGGAAACCGGAGCUAAUACCGGAUAAUAUUUUGAACCGCAUGGUUCAAAAGUGAAAGACGGUCUUGCUGUCACUUAUAGAUGGAUCCGCGCUGCAUUAGCUAGUUGGUAAGGUAACGGCUUACCAAGGCAACGAUGCAUAGCCGACCUGAGAGGGUGAGCGGCCACACUGGAACUGAGACACGGUCCAGACUCCUACGGGAGGCAGCAGUAGGGAAUCUUCCGCAAUGGGCGAAAGCCUGACGGAGCAACGCCGCGUGAGUGAUGAAGGUCUUCGGAUCGUAAAACUCUGUUAUUAGGGAAGAACAUAUGUGUAAGUAACUGUGCACAUCUUGACGGUACCUAAUCAGAAAGCCACGGCUAACUACGUG
rnacentral:rRNA from 1 species